rnacentral:rRNA from 1 species
GUGAGGAAUAUUGGUCAAUGGGCGAGAGCCUGAACCAGCCAAGUCGCGUGAAGGAAGAAGGAUCUAUGGUUCGUAAACUUCUUUUGCAGGGGAAUAAAGUGCGGGACGUGUCCUGUUUUGUAUGUACCCUGAGAAUAAGGAUCGGCUAACUCCGUGCCAGCAGCCGCGGUAAUACGGAGGAUCCGAGCGUUAUCCGGAUUUAUUGGGUUUAAAGGGUGCGGAGGUGGUUUGAUAAGUCAGCGGUGAAAGUUUGCAGCUUAACUGUAAAAAUGCCGUUGAAACUGUCGGACUUGAGUGUAAAUGAGGUAGGCGGAAUGCGUGGUGUAGCGGUGAAAUGCAUAGAUAUCACGCAGAACUCCGAUUGCGAAGGCAGCUUACUAAGCUACAACUGACACUGAAGCACGAAAGCGUGGGGAUCAAACAGGAUUAGAAACCCCUGUAGUCC